AACGUAGGGGGCGAGCGUUGUCCGGAAUUACUGGGCGUAAAGGGCGCGUAGGCGGAUAUUUAAGUCCGGUGUGAAAGAUCAGGGCUCAACCCUGAGAGUGCAUCGGAAACUGGAUGUCUUGAGGACAGGAGAGGAAAGUGGAAUUCCUAGUGUAGCGGUGAAAUGCGUAGAUAUUAGGAGGAACACCAGUGGCGAAAGCGGCUUUCUGGCCUGUAACUGACGCUGAGGCGCGAAAGCGUGGGGAGCAAACAGG
rnacentral:rRNA from 1 species